UAAUCCCCGCCGCCGAGCUUCUGACGACCGGUUCGUCAGAAGGCGGGGGAACCACUGCGACCGAUCCGAGAGGGUCGGCCGCUGGGGCGAAUCGGAUCGACUUCGAUCCGUAGCGCACUCGUUCAGCGCGAGCCCGACAGCUCACCCCGUAGGCGCAGAACGAGACCAACA
rnacentral:sRNA from 1 species